AGGAUGAACGCUGGCGGCGUGCCUAAAACAUGCAAGUCAUACGGUCUACCUUCGGGUAGACAGUGGCAAACGGGUGAGUAACACGUGGGAACACGCCUUCGAGUGGGGAAUAACGCUGAGAAAUCAGUGCUAAUACCGCAUAUGGUCUAACGACUAAAGCAGUAAUGCGCUCGGAGAGUGGCCCGCGUCCGAUUAGCUAGUUGGUGGGGUAAUGGCCUACCAAGGCGGUGAUCGGUAGCUGGUCUGAGAGGAUGGUCAGCCACACUGGGACUACGAACGGCCCAGACUCCUACGGGAGGCAGCAGUUAGGAAUUUUCGGCAAUGGACGAAAGUCUGACCGAGCGACGCCGCGUGGAGGACGAAGCCUUUCGGGGUGUAAACUCCUUUUCUGCGGGAAGAUAAUGACGGUACCGCAGGAAUAAGCACCGGCUAACUACGUGCCAGCAGCCGC
rnacentral:rRNA from 1 species